UCUGGAAUUGAAGGCGUGUGCCAAUAGCACCUCUCUCUCUCAGUUAUACUCGACUGAGCUUGACCUCUUCUAACUUCUUCUCCAUGCUUAGGUGUUAGUCAGCCAGUGACGUGUGAAGCGGUAACACAUACUUCCCCUUUUACCUGUACAUCACCCAUGCUGUUCUCUCCACGACUUUCAAGAGUCGCAGAAACCCUUCCCCAAAACCCCCUGGGAAAUGAGACAUUUGCCCAUGUCUUCCUGGGAAAUGUGACCUCAUUGUAUUAUGCAGUGAUUGUGAUCCUCCUGCAUCAGACUCCUAAGUAGCUAGGAGAGGUGUCUUUUGAUGCAGAAAAAGCUUUGCAACAUCAGUAUCUAGUUUUGUUUUCAAUCUUCUUUUAGGAUCUAUAAUUGAAGCUUAAGUUUAAUCACUGUUCCCUGAAAUAUUAUUAAGGACAAUAGAGAUAAAUUAGUAGUAGAUGUAGUUUUCAUAUAAAAUAAAAAAUGAAAUAUCUUCAUUUUGCAAUAGGAGUUAAUGGGUCUCAGCAUUAACAGUUGACAGCCAGUGAAGCUGUUUCCAUUGUUGAUGCAUAUUACCAGCUCUGGUGUGGGCAGAGGGAACGAGGCACUCCUGUGUUUUAGAUUUACUUCUUUAUGGUGCUGAAGAUUGAAGCCAGGGCCUUGCGCACACUAGACAGGCACUCCACCGCUGGGCUACACGACCAGCCCUUCCUUAGGUGGAUUUUAGAUUAGAUAUCCUCACAGGGCAUUUUUAGGAGCUGUAAAUAGAGUGAACAAAAUCUUGUAUAGGGUUAAGGAAGGUUUUGUUUGUCAGGUUGAGGAACCACUUUACAUACUUACUGUGAUUUAAGCCAAUGUGAUGGGUGAAACAUCUCAAUUGUAUAAAACAAAUAUUUGAAGAAGUAUGUCUUGCUUAGAACUUGCUGAGAAUGAACCAAACUUUGAUUUUCAGAUAACAUUAGCGGCUCAUCUGUUCUGUAGCUGGCUAGUGAAGUGAACAGCAACCGUCAGUUUUUAAAAAGUCUUGGUCUUUUGUCUUCAAGUGGAGAGAAAGACACAGUAACUCGAAGAUGGCUGUGGCUCACACGCAGCAGCUCUGGAGGCUGACCUUGAAGGCCUGGCCUGUGCUCUGGCGGCCUGCAUGACCACUUGUGGCCCUUUCCUUGCUGAACUUUUUAUGUGAGAAAUUACAUUGGACUUUGUAUAUAUGAAGGUGGUUUUAUAUCAUGUUUUAUGUACUUUGAAGACUUUUUUGUAUUUAUAAUUUCCAUGACUUAUUAUUAUUUUUGCCUUGAAAUACUGUUUAAACAUGAAUUUUAAAACAAAAAUAAAAUUACUGAAAUUUUUGG
rnacentral:lncRNA from 1 species